AGAACGAACGCUGGCGGCAUGCUUAACACAUGCAAGUCGAACGGUGGCUUCGGCCACAGUGGCGCACGGGUGAGUAACGCGUGGGAACCUGCCUUGGAGUUCGGAAUAACCGCGGGAAACUGCGGCUAAUACCGGAUAUUGCCUUCGGGUGAAAGAUUUAUCGCUCCAAGAGGGGCCCGCGUCCGAUUAGCUAGUUGGUGAGGUAACGGCUCACCAAGGCUCCGAUCGGUAGCUGGUCUGAGAGGAUGAUCAGCCACACUGGGACUGGGACACGGCCCAGACUCCUACGGGAGGCAGCAGUGGGGAAUAUUGGACAAUGGGGGCAACCCUGAUCCAGCAAUGCCGCGUGAGUGAUGAAGGCCUUAGGGUUGUAAAGCUCUUUACCCACGACGAUGAUGACGGUAGUGGGAGAAUAAGCCCCGGCUAACUUCGCGCCAGCAGCCGC
rnacentral:rRNA from 1 species